GUCCACGCCGUAAACGAUGGAUACUAGCUGUUGGGCGCGACUUCAGUGGCUAAGCGAAAGUGAUAAGUAUCCCACCUGGGGAGUACGUUCGCAAGAAUGAAACUCAAAGGAAUUGACGGGGGCCCCGCACAAGCGGUGGAGCAUGUGGUUUAAUUCGAUGAUACGCGAGGAACCUUACCAAGGCUUAAAUGUAGAUUGACCGGUUUGGAAACAGACUUUUCGCAAGACAAUUUACAAGGUGCUGCAUGGUUGUCGU
rnacentral:rRNA from 1 species